rnacentral:rRNA from 1 species
UGUGAACGGCUGCUAAAACCCCAUAUGCCGAGAGGUGAAAAAGAUUUCUGCCUAAGGAAGAGCUCGCGGCUGAUUAGCUAGUUGGUAGGAUAAAAGACUACCAAGGCAACGAUCAGUAGCUGGUUUGAGAGGACGAUCAGCCACACUGGGACUGAGACACGGCCCAGACUCCUACGGGAGGCAGCAGUGGGGAAUCUUCUGCAAUGGGCGAAAGCCUGACAGAGCAAUACCGCGUGAGGGAUAAAAGCCUGAGGGUCGUAAACCUCUUUUUUCAGGGAAGAAAUUUGACGGUACCUGAAGAAUAAGCAUCGGCUAACUCCGUGCCAGCAGCCGCGGUAAUACGGAGGAUGCAAGCGUUAUCCGGAAUCACUGGGCGUAAAGCGUCUGUAGGUGGCUUUUCAAGUCUGCUGUUAAAGACUGAGGCUUAACCUCAGAAAAGCAGUGGAAACUGACAAGCUAGAGCAUGGUAGGGGUAAAGGGAAUUCCCAGUGUAGCGGUGAAAUGCGUAGAUAUUGGGAAGAACACCUGUGGCGAAAGCGCUUUACUGGACCAUUGCUGACACUGAGAGACGAAAGCUAGGGUAGCAAAUGGGAUUAGAUACCCCAGUAGUC